AUGAACGCUGGCGGCGUGCCUAAUACCUGCAAGUCGAGCGAACAGACGAGGAGCUUGCUCCUCUGACGUUAGUGGCGGACGGGUGCGUAACACGUGGAUAACCUACCUAUAAGACUGGGAUAACUUCGGGAAACCGGAGCUAAUACCGGAUAAUAUAUUGAACCGCAUGGUUCAAUAGUGAAAGACGGUUUUGCUGUCACUUAUAGAUGGAUCCGCGCCGCAUUAGCUAGUUGGUAAGGUAACGGCUUACCAAGGCAACGAUGCGUAGCCGACCUGAGAGGGAGGACCGCCACACUGGCACUGAGAAACGGUCCCGACUCCUACGGGAGGAAGCAGUAGGGAAUCUUACGCAAUGGGCGAAAGCCUGACGGAGCAACGCCGCGUGAGUGAUGAAGGUCUUCGGAUCGGAAAACUCUGUUGUUAGGGAAGAACAAAUGUGUAAGUAACUAUGAACGUCUUGACGGUACCUAAUCAGAAAGCCACGGCUAACUACGUG
rnacentral:rRNA from 1 species